rnacentral:lncRNA from 1 species
AUGGAUGUCACUUAUGCAGUGCUUUAUAUUGAUUUGAUUAUUGGACUUACUGAGAUUUGUUUUGAACGGGUCAUCAUGAGUAUAGGUUGAAAUGGGCCAAGUCUGACUUUCAACUUUUCAAUUAUUUCCAAUUAAUCCCUUGGUCAGUUCGCAAAUCCUGGCAUGUUCGUUAACCGUUUUAUGUUGGUGUUAUAAUAAUAAAAUAUGGGUGAUUCUAUACACACACCCCUGUAAUCUUAUUUCGCAAGAUGGCGGUUCCGGAGCCUGCUUAAGCGUUGCAGAAUCUGCCGGUGUCGCCGCUUCGGCAGGCGAAGAAAAGUCGACGUGGACUGAGGUCUCGAAGCUCACAGUAUCGCGGUGUGACGUUUUAUCGGCGUACUGGUCGUUGGGAAUCACAUAUCUGAUACAAAGGUACAUAUCAUACUUAAGAAGUGGCUAUAAAGAUACUAAAG